rnacentral:rRNA from 1 species
GACGAACGCUGGCGGCGUGCUUAAUACAUGCAAGUAGAACGGAAAGGCCAUGCCUUAGCUGGCUGCACGAGAGGCGGAGGGGUGCGAAAGACGGAAGUACGCUGACCUAAACUGUGGGAUAACUUCAGGAAACUGGGGGUAAUACCAGAUAGUAGCGCCUGAUGCAAGGUGGGGGAUGGAAAGUUUCGGAGUUUGGGGAUGGACUCGCGGCUUAGCGGCUUGUAGGUGGGGUAGCGGCUCGCCAAGGCUAUGACGGGUAGCCGGCCUGAGAGGGUGACCGGCCACAGUGGGCCUGAGGAACGGGCCAGACUGCUACGGGAGGCAUCAGUGGGGGACUUUGCGCGAUGGGCGGAGGCCUUAUGCAGCAACGCCGCGUGCGGGAUGACGGCUUUCGGGUUGUAAACCGCUUUCGCCUGUGACGAAGAGUGAGUGACGGUAAUUUGUAAAGAAGCACCGGCUAACUACGUG